rnacentral:rRNA from 1 species
CAGUCGCCGCGGGAAUACAGAGGGUGCGAGCGUUAAUCGGAUUUACUGGGCGUAAAGCGUGCGUAGGCGGCUUUUUAAGUCGGAUGUGAAAUCCCUGAGCUUAACUUAGGAAUUGCAUUCGAUACUGGGAAGCUAGAGUAUGGGAGAGGAUGGUAGAAUUCCAGGUGUAGCGGUGAAAUGCGUAGAGAUCUGGAGGAAUACCGAUGGCGAAGGCAGCCAUCUGGCCUAAUACUGACGCUGAGGUACGAAAGCAUGGGGAGCAAACAGGAUUAGAUACCCCUGUAGUCCAUGUCUCUUAUAC